AUCCCUGUAGCGCAAUGGAUAUGGCAUUGGACUUCUAAUCCAAAGGUCAUGGGUUCGAAUCCCACCUGGGAUG